rnacentral:misc_RNA from 1 species
GUAGGUGAACCUGCGGAAGGAUCAUUACCAAAUCCAAAAAACUUUAUCAACCCCUAUUGUGCACUGAGAAUGGUUCCGUUCCCUGCCUCUUUGGAGCUCGCUCCGGGCAGGUGGGGAAUGUAUUUUUUCAACACCUUUUCAACCAUUUUUAACCACAUUUAUGCUGAAAGCAAACAAAAACGAAACAUGAGACAACUUUUAACGGUGGAUCUCUUGGCUCGU